GGUUAACUGCAGGAGACAAACUAUGGGACUUACUCGUUCGAUGAACGUCCUCAUGAUCUGUGCAGCGUUCGCAUUUAUCGGUGCAAUGGUCGUA
rnacentral:sRNA from 1 species